rnacentral:rRNA from 1 species
AAUUGCCGCGGUAUUAUGACCGUGCAAAGGUAGCAUAAUAAUUAGUUUCUUUAUUGGAAGCUGGAAUGAAUGAUUGGACGAGAAAAUUACUGUCUCUUUUAAAUUUUUUUUUGAAUUUAAUUUUUGAGUAAAAAAGCUCAAAUUUUUUUAAAAGACGAGAAGACCCUAUAGAGUUUUAUAAUAUAUUUUUUUAAUUUUUUUGGAAUUUUAAAAAUUUAAAUUUAAUAUUUUAUUUGGUUGGGGUGACUUAAAGAUUUAAAAAACUCUUUAAAUUUUAUAAUCAUUAAUUUAUGAAAAUAUAAUCUGAUUUUUUCAAUUUUAAGAUAAAUUACCUUAGGGAUAACAGCGUAAUUUUCUUUUAGAGUUCUUAUUAAAAAGAAAGUUUGCGACCUCGAUGUUGGAUUAAAAUUAAUUAUUGGUGCAGAAGCUAAAUAAUUAAGUCUGUUCGACUUUUAAAAUUUUACAUGAUCUGAGU